rnacentral:rRNA from 1 species
AUGAACGCUAGCGGCAGGCUUAACACAUGCAAGUCGAGGGGUAUAGUUCUUCGGAGCUAGAGACCGGCGCACGGGUGCGUAACGCGUAUGCAAUUCUACCUUUUACAGAGGGAUAGCCCAGAGUAAUUUGGAUUAAUACCUCAUAGUAUGUGAGAAUCGCAUUGGUUUUCACAUUAAAGUUCCAACGGUAAAAGAUGAGCAUGCGUCCCAUUAGCUAGAUGGUAAGGUAACGGCUUACCAUGGCGACGAUGGGUAGGGGUCCUGAGAGGGAGAUCCCCCACACUGGUACUGAGACACGGACCAGACUCCUACGGGAGGCAGCAGUGAGGAAUAUUGGACAAUGGGCGCAAGCCUGAUCCAGCCAUGCCGCGUGCAGGAUGACGGUCCUAUGGAUUGUAAACUGCUUUUGUACAGGAAGAAACACUCCCUCGUGAGGGAGCUUGACGGUACUGUAAGAAUAAGGAUCGGCUAACUCCGUG